GACAGAGGUGCCGAGCGUUAGGCGGAAUCACUGGGCUUAAAGCGUGUGUAGGCGGAUCGUUAAGUGCCUUGUGAAAUCCCACGGCUCAACCGUGGAACUGCUUGGCAUACUGGCGAUCUUGAGCCACUUAGGGGCUACCGGAACAAAUGGUGGAGCGGUGAAAUGCGUAGAUAUCAUUUGGAACGCCAAUGGUGAAAACAGGUAGCUGGGAGUGUGCUGACGCUGAGACA
rnacentral:rRNA from 1 species